AACGGCUUUCGAUCCUUCCAACCUUUCUGCAAGGAGGUGUCUUCCUCCACUUCUCUUACUUUGGGUCGAAGCAGCUAGGUUGAGAGAAGUCUCAUGUUGAUCAAUGUUUUGAUGAUUAGCUCGAUCCUCAUCAGGGAUAACCAUGUCGAAGGAAGGUGACCCUCCUUGUUGGGAGGCAUCCAGAUGAUGGUUGAUGUCCACAGGGAUAACGAGUUCGCGUGUUUGAGUACGCCUAGUUUCGUGGCGCAUCUCAAAGUGCUUCUCAUACUACUCCUGGAGGACCUCAUUCUUCGAUGCUAUCUUGUUGUUUUGAGAUUCUAGCUCAUCGACUUUAGCUUGAAGAGCAACCCUCUUUCCUUCAUUCUUUCGUUGUUUCGCACUAGGUACAAGAUGGGUGUCAUUCUGUGUGCUGUGGCUUCCUUCGCUCCCCAUGUUGGAGAGGGAUGUCUGGUCAAAAGAAAGUGUACGAAUGGUGGAAACCAGUUUAACAAAGCUGAAGAGAGUGAGAAUAAGUGUCGUUCCCACAGAAGGCGCCAAAUGUUGAUGCACAAAAUCAGUGAGGACUUUGGUACAACAGAAAAUGUUAAGUUUGUAACCUUCGCUAGAUUGCUCUCGUCACUGGUGUGGAUAAGUAUGUAAAUGGAUAGAGACAGGGAAGCAAACACAAGAUGUUGGUGGUUCACCCAGAUUGGCUACGUCCACGGAGUAUAAGAGUUCUCAUUAAUUGUGAAGGGUUUACACAAGUACAUAGGUUCAAGCUCUCCUUUAGUGAGUACAAGUGAAUGAUUUAGUACAAAUGACAUUAGGAAAUGUUGUGAGAGAAUGAUCUCUAUUUAUAGAAGAGAGUUUCUAGUUUCAUUCUGACAUUGACACGUGUUGUGUUGUGAUUGGCUUCUGAUGUGACACGUGUCGCAUUAUGAUUAGUUUCUAAUGUCGACACGUGUCGCGUUGUGAUUGGCCUUCUGGUUGGAGGGAAACUCUUCUGGCUUCUGGGUCCUUAACGGUAUAACAUUGACUGGUGCUCAGUAGUUUCGGGAUUGGUCAAGUAUGGUACAAACACAACUAAGUCAAAAAAUAAUAUACUUAUACAUAGUAGUUCUACUAGUAGUAUCACCAAUGUCUUCUAUAAUAAAAUGCAACAACUAUUAAUAGGUUGUUAAGUUAAGACAAUACUGAUGAUGUUGACAAUGAACCAUGUGUGGAUGCAAAUUUUCGCCUUCCUUUGAUUAACGAAUAUGUACCUGCAAAAUAAUAACACCUAAGAUUUGGGCCAAAAGCCUCACGUGCCCACGAUGAAUUUGGAGGGAGGGGGGAGGGGGACUUUGGCCAAAGAAUGUCUAACUCCAAAGUUAGAAUUAUGAGAAGAAUGUAUUUGAGUGUUUGUGGGUAGCAAAAAGCCUCUUUAGGGGUGAUGUGAAAAUUACUUGACACACAAAUUAAACCCUAUUGAUGACAAUUGUAGUAAUGAUGUAAGUAGGGAUCGUUCUAGACCGGGGAUUAACUACGGAUGCUAAUCAACAAAUAUAAGACU
rnacentral:lncRNA from 1 species